rnacentral:rRNA from 1 species
AGAGUUUGAUCCUGGCUCAGAUUGAACGCUGCGGGCAGGCUUAAUACAUGCAAGUCGAACCGUAAACUGGAGAAAAGCUUGCUUUUCUUGCAGACGAGUGGCGGACGGUUGAGUAAUAUUUGGGAAGCUACCUGAUAGAGGGGGACAACAGUUGGAAACGACUGCUAAUACCGCAUAUAGCCUGAGGGUGAAAGCAGCAAUGCGCUAUCAGAUGCGCCCAAACGGGAUUAGCUAGUAGGUGAGGUAAAGGCUCACCUAGGCGACGAUCUCUAGCUGGUCUGAGAGGAUGAUCAGCCACAUUGNGACUGAGACACGGCCCAGACUCCUACGGGAGGCAGCAGUAGGGAAUAUUGCACAAUGGGGGAAGCCCUGAUGCAGCCAUGCCGCGUGUGUGAAGAAGGCCUUCGGGUUGUAAAGCACUUUCGGAGGGGAGGAACAAAUGACGUUACCCUCAGAAGAAGCACCGGCUAACUCCGUGCCAGCAGCCGCGGUAAUACGGAGGGUGCAAGCGUUAAUCGGAAUAACUGGGCGUAAAGGGCAUGCAGGCGGUCGGACAAGUAGGAUGUGAAAUCCUGGGGCUCAACCUCAGAACUGCAUUCUAAACUGUUCGACUAGAGUAUUGCAGGGGGAGACGGAAUUUCAGGUGUAGCGGUGGAAUGCGUAGAUAUCUGGAAGAACACCAAAGGCGAAGGCAGUCUCCUGGGCAAAUACUGACGCUCAGAUGCGAAAGCGUGGGUAGCAAACAGGAUUAGAUACCCUGGUAGUCCACGCCGUAAACGAUGUCAAUUAGGAGCUUGUGCUUAAGUAUGGUUCCGCAGCUAACGCAAUAAAUGACCGCCUGG